GUGGCCGAUAACGACACCUCGUAUCCAUACUCUGCAGAAUUUUUAAUUUCAAAUUCAAGAUAUCUGAGCAAAGAAAAAAGAUGAAGAUUUUAACAAGACGAGUUGGGGCGUGUGCGUGGCUUUGGUGCGCAAGGCAGUCGUCUUAUAGGAGCGACCCGCGGGAAAACAACGAAUAUGAUUAAACUGGUAACCGGAGUAAACAUCUUUUAG